rnacentral:piRNA from 1 species
UUCUGCUCUAUGGGCCAUCCAAGAGAGAGA